UACACAUGCAAGUCGAACGGCAGCACGGGGGCAACCCUGGUGGCGAGUGGCGAACGGGUGAGUAAUACAUCGGAACGUGUCCUGUAGUGGGGGAUAGCCCGGCGAAAGCCGGAUUAAUACCGCAUACGCUCUACGGAGGAAAGGGGGGGAUCUUAGGACCUCCCGCUACAGGGGCGGCCGAUGGCAGAUUAGCUAGUUGGUGGGGUAAAGGCCUACCAAGGCGACGAUCUGUAGCUGGUCUGAGAGGACGACCAGCCACACUGGGACUGAGACACGGCCCAGACUCCUACGGGAGGCAGCAGUGGGGAAUUUUGGACAAUGGGCGAAAGCCUGAUCCAGCAAUGCCGCGUGUGUGAAGAAGGCCUUCGGGUUGUAAAGCACUUUUGUCCGGAAAGAAAACGCCGUGGUUAAUACCCGUGGCGGAUGACGGUACCGGAAGAAUAAGCACCGGCUAACUACGUGCCAGCAGCCGCGGUAAUACGUAGGGUGCAAGCGUUAAUCGGAAUUACUGGGCGUAAAGCGUGCGCAGGCGGUCCGCUAAGACAGAUGUGAAAUCCCCGGGCUUAACCUGGGAACUGCAUUUGUGACUGGCGGGCUAG
rnacentral:rRNA from 1 species